AGGUUCGACCGCGUCGACGAACGCUGGCGGAUGCUUGCCAUGCAAGUCGAACGCAGCACGGACUUCGGUCUGGUGGCGAGUGGCGAACGGUGAGUAAUACCGAACGUGCUCAGUAGCGGGGGAUAACUACGCGAAAGCGUAGCUAACACCGCAUACGCCGCCCUUGUGAAGCGGACCGGGCCUCGCACUAUUAGAGCGGCCGAUAUCGGAUUAGCGAGAGUUGGUGGGGUAACGGUCACCCAAGGCGACGAUCCGUAGCUGGUUUGAGAGGACGACCAGCCACAUUGGGACUGAGAUGACGGGCCCAGACUCCUACGGGAGGCAGUAUGGGGACGAUAUUAGAAACCUCCUGAUCCAGCCAUCCCGCGUGUGCGAUGGCAUUUGUCAAAGCACUUUUGGCAGGAAGAAACGGCACGGGAUAACACCCCGUGCAACUGACGGUACCUGCAGUCAGUUACCCGCUAACUACAUGCCAGCAGCCGCGGCAUGUAGUAAGGCAAAGAUCGGACAUUGGGCGUGUAAAGCGUGCGCAGGCGGUUCGGAAAGAAAGAGGAAAUCCCGUAGCUUAACUUGUGGAAUCGGGUAGUUUGAAUUUAUCAUCCGAGCUAGAGUGUGUCGAGGAGGUAACGUGUAGCAGUGGAAAAUGCGCAGAUAUGCGGAGGAACACCGAUGGCGAAGGGCAGCCUCCUGGGAUAACACUGACGCUCAUGCACGAAAGCGGGGAGAAACAGGAUUAGAUACCCUGGUAGUCCACGCCCUAACGAUGCUGACCAGCUGUUGGGGCCUUCGGGCCUUAGUAGCGCAGCUAACGCAAGGACAGUUGACCGCCUGGGGAGUACGGUCGCAAGAUUAAAAACUCAAAGGAAUUGACGGGGACCGCACAAGCGGUGGAUUAUGGACAUUGUCUGAUGUAACGAAAAACUCACACUUACCCUUGGACAUGUUCUAUCCCGAAGAGAUUUGGGAGUGCUCGUGAGAGGAACCGGAACACAGGUGCUGCAUGGCUGUCGUCGUCAGCUCGUGUCGUGAGAUGUUGGGUUAAGUCCCGCAACGAGCGCAACCCUUGUCAUUAGUUGCUACGAAGGCACUCUGAAUGAGACUGCCGGCAUGAAACCGGAGGAAGGUGGGGAUGACGUCAAGUCCUCAUGGCCCUUAUGGGUAGGGCUUCGCUUACCGUCAUACAACAAUGGUCGGGACAGAGGGUCGCCAACCCGCGAGGGGGAGCCAAUCCCAGAAACCCGAUCGUAGUCCGGAUCGCAGCCUGCAACUCGAUCGCAAGAAGCUGGAAUCGCUAGCAUCAUGAUCAGCAUGUCAGUGAAUACGUUCCCGGGUCUUGCAUACACCGCCCGUCACACCAUGGGAGGGUUUUACCAGAAGAAAGAAAUGAACCGUAAGAGGAGGGCGACAACACACGGUAGAUCCGCGACUGGGGUGAAGUCGUCAACAAGGUG
rnacentral:rRNA from 1 species